rnacentral:rRNA from 1 species
UACGUAGGGUGCAAGCGUUGUCCGGAAUUAUUGGGCGUAAAGAGCUCGUAGGCGGUUCGUCGCGUCGGCUGUGAAAUCCCGAGGCUCAACCUCGGGUCUGCAGUCGAUACGGGCGGACUGGAGUUCGGCAGGGGAGACUGGAAUUCCUGGUGUAGCGGUGAAAUGCGCAGAUAUCUGGAGGAACACCGGUGGCGAAGGCGGCAUCCUGGACCAACACUGACGCUGAGGAGCGAAAGCCAGGGGAGCAAAGCGGG